rnacentral:lncRNA from 1 species
GGGGACGGUGUCAAAACAUUGAUUAUAGAUAAAAAUUAAAUCAUGUGCGUCUUGGUGAAUUCAAAUCACAUUUACGUAACAUCCUAAUAUUAUGACAUUUGCUUUUGUGAUAUUGUUGACUAUCAUACGACUUGAAAGUUGUACGCGUGCAAUAGUGGGUGGGAUAGAAAAAGGGGGGCUGAGAGUUAUACAAGUUCAUUCGAUUCUAG